rnacentral:lncRNA from 1 species
GCUCUGUUACACUGAAUCACAUUUCUUGCAUUUGCAGAUGCUAGUCAUGAUUGCUUCCCAGCCCCCUGCAACCUUGGUUGAGCACACAGUGAUAUGCCCUCAUAUUUGGACUCUUAUGAAUCUGUUUUUCCUCUUUUUACUGAUGUUUUUCAGAUUCUUGUUCCUUUUCUGGGCAAGUGCUGGCCAUGCCAUGGACUGCAGUCUGAGAAAGUGAACAUGAUGUUUUCAUACAUGGCCUUUUCACUUCAAAGUUUUCAAAAUAUGUAAGAGAUACAGCAUCUGUAAUUUUCCUAGUAUGGCUUCAGAAAGUAGAGAAAUCUGCCAUAAUGUUGCAGAUGGUAAAGAACUGGUAAGAGGUAUUUGAGCUGUGGAUGUAUUUUGGAAGUGGCUGACAUGAUGUGAUAUACAAUUACCCUAGACUUCUAUCAUGUUACACUACACCACAUAAAAUGAUUGCACACUGUAUAUGUCUUAAUUUGCCACUUGCUACUCCUCCAAAGAUAUGAUCUCAACAGGAAACCUGUCUGCAUGUGCCCUAGACCACUCUACCCACUGGCAAGACAUCUGCCUAGAAGGUUUUAGGUUGGUCUAACAGGUGCACUGAAGCAAACACAACCCCUUUGGACAGGUUAGUCCUAUCCCCAGGACAUGCCCACAGCCUGUUGCAAUGGAGACCUGGGCACCAACAAUACCUCAGCUUGCUGCCCCAGUCCUAUGGAAGUGUUCUCUCAGUGGCACUGCUGACUAGGGAUCAAUCAUUGGCUUUGUUUCUUGGGAUGCU